GGUGUCUUAGUGGUAGAGCUCUUGCCUUGCAUGCAUGAGGCCCUGGGUUCGAUUCCCCAGCACCA
rnacentral:tRNA from 1 species